UGCCAGCCGCCGCGGUAAUACGAAGGGACCUAGCGUAGUUCGGAAUUACUGGGCUUAAAGAGUUCGUAGGUGGUUGAAAAAGUUGGUGGUGAAAUCCCAGAGCUUAACUCUGGAACUGCCAUCAAAACUUUUCAGCUAGAGUUUGAUAGAGGAAAGCAGAAUUUCUAGUGUAGAGGUGAAAUUCGUAGAUAUUAGAAAGAAUACCAAUUGCGAAGGCAGCUUUCUGGAUCAUUACUGACACUGAGAGACGACAGCUAGGGGAGCAAAUGGGAUUAGAUA
rnacentral:rRNA from 1 species